rnacentral:misc_RNA from 1 species
GUGAAUCAUCGAAUCUUUGAACGCAAAUUGCACUCUCUUCGGAGAGUAUGCCUGUUUGAGGGUCAGCCUAAAAAAAAUCUACAUAGUUGCUGUUACGCGGUAACAUUCGUCUGACAUUGGGUCAUAUUAAACCUGUUGGUGUAAGCGGCUUAAAAUUUUCUUUACGAUUCCUAGAACGUUUCUAAGAUUUUAUUUUCUUUUACGUUUAAGGUAUCGAUCUUUAGUAGACGUGGCCGUUGUAUUGGAUC